rnacentral:rRNA from 1 species
GAUGAACGCUGGCGGCGUGCUUAACACAUGCAAGUCGAACGGAAAGGCCCAAGCUUGCUUGGGUGCUCGAGUGGCGAACGGGUGAGUAACACGUGGGUGAUCUGCCCUGCACUUUGGGUUAAGCCUGGGAAACUGGGUCUAAUACCGGAUAGGACCAUCGUUUAGUGUCGGUGGUGGAAAGUUUUUCGGUGUGGGAUGAGCUCGCGGCCUAUCAGCUUGUUGGUGGGGUAAUGGCCUACCAAGGCGUCGACGGGUAGCCGGCCUGAGAGGGUGUACGGCCACAUUGGGACUGAGAUACGGCCCAGACUCCUACGGGAGGCAGCAGUGGGGAAUAUUGCACAAUGGGCGCAAGCCUGAUGCAGCGACGCCGCGUGGGGGAUGACGGCCUUCGGGUUGUAAACUCCUUUCGCCAAGGACGAAGCGUUUUGUGACGGUACUUGGAGAAGAAGCACCGGCUAACUACGUG